AGUGUACUGGGCAUGGUUGAGAAAUUCACUCUGUGCUAGGAGUCUGUAGUCAGGGGUGUUUGUGUGUGCGUUAAUGAGUAACCGACUUCGAGUAUCACAAACACCGCUACUGUUCAGAAGAGCGACUCCGAAGUGAUCCCAGUGUACUGGGCAUGGUUGAGAAAUUCCCUCUGUACGAGGAGUCUGUAGUCAGGUGUGUUUGUGUGUGCGUUAAUGAGUAACCGACUUCGAGUAUCACAAACACCGCUACUGUUCAGAAGAGCGACUCCGAGGUGAUCCCAGUGUACUGGGCAUGGUUGAGAAGUAUCGUUAAACUGGUGCUUUUCUGUGGUCGUCUGUACCAGGAGUCUGUAGUCAGGGGUGUUUGUGUGUGCGUUAAUGAGUAACCGACUUCGAGUAUCACAAACACCGCUACUGUUCAGAAGAGCGACUCCGAAGUGAUCCCAGUGUACUGGGCAUGGUUGAGAAAUUCCCUCUGUACGAGGAGUCUGUAGUCAGGUGUGUUUGUGUGUGCGUUAAUGAGUAACCGACUUCGAGUAUCACAAACACCGCUACUGUUCAGAAGAGCGACUCCGAGGUGAUCCCAGUGUACUGGGCAUGGUUGAGAAAUUCCCUCUGUACGAGGAGUCUGUAGUCAGGGGUGUUUGUGUGUGCGUUAAUGAGUAACCGACUUCGAGUAUCACAAACACCGCUACUGUUCAGAAGAGCGACUCCGAAGUGAUCCCAGUGUACUGGGCAUGGUUGAGAAAUUCCCUCUGUACUAGGAGUCUGUAGUCAGGGGUGUUUGUGUGUGCGUUAAUGAGUAACCGACUUCGAGUAUCACAAACACCGCUACUGUUCAGAAGAGCGACUCCGAAGUGAUCCCAGUGUACUGGGCAUGGUUGAGAAAUUCCCUCUGUGCUAGGAGUCUGUAGUCAGGGGUGUUUGUGUGUGCGUUAAUGAGUAACCGACUUCGAGUAUCACAAACACCGCUACUGUUCAGAAGAGCGACUCCGAAGUGAUCCCAGUGUACUGGGCAUGGUUGAGAAAUUCCCUCUGUACGAGGAGUCUGUAGUCAGGGGUGUUUGUGUGUGCGUUAAUGAGUAACCGACUUCGAGUAUCACAAACACCGCUACUGUUCAGAAGAGCGACUCCGAAGUGAUCCCAGUGUACUGGGCAUGGUUGAGAAAUUCCCUCUGUACGAGGAGUCUGUAGUCAGGGGUGUUUGUGUGUGCGUUAAUGAGUAACCGACUUCGAGUAUCACAAACACCGCUACUGUUCAGAAGAGCGACUCCGAAGUGAUCCCAGUGUACUGGGCAUGGUUGAGAAAUAUCGUUAAGGUGUCAAGUUUGGUGAACCGGCGAUAUUGGAACUACGCCGUUGAUGUCACAGUCGGUGAGCCAGCGAUGUGAAGCAACGCUGACGAUGUCAUAGUCGGGUAGCCAGCGAUGUGAAGCAACGCUGACGAUGUCAUAGUCGGGUAGCCAGCGAUGUGAAGCAACGUUGACGAUGUCAUAGUCGGUGAGCCAACGAUGUGAAGCAACGCUGACGAUGUCAUAGUCCGUGAGCCAGCGAUGUGAAGCAACGCUGACGAUGUCAUCGUCGGUGAGCCAGCGAUGUGGGAGCAACGCUGACGAUGUCAUAGUCGGUGAGCCAGCGAUGUGGGGGCAACGCUGACGAUGUCAUAGUCGGUGAGCCAGCGAUGGGGGAAUAACGCUGACGAUGUCAUAGUCGGUGAGCCAGCGAUGGGGGAAUAACGCUGGUGGUGUCAUAAUCGGUGUGCCAGCGAUGGGGAGUAACGCUGGUGGUGUCAUAAUCGGUGUGCCAGCGAUGGGGAGUAACGCUGGUGGUGUCAUAAUCGGUGUGCCAGCGAUGGGGAGUAACGCUGGUGGUGUCAUGAUCGGUGUGCCAGCGAUGGGGAGUAACGCUGGUGGUGUCAUAAUCGGUGUGCCAGCGAUGGGGAGUAACGCUGGUGGUGUCAUAAUC